GACGAACGCUGGCGGCGUGCUUAACACAUGCAAGUCGAACGGUGAAGCGCCUUCCUUUUUGGUGGGUGUGGAUGAGUGGCGAACGGGUGAGUAACACGUGAGUAACCUGCCCCCUUCUUCUGGAUAACCGCAUGAAAGUGUGGCUAAUACGGGAUAUUCUGGGUCUGUCGCAUGAUGGGUCUGGGAAAGAUAUUGUUUCGGUGGGGGAUGGGCUCGCGGCCUAUCAGCUUGUUGGUGGGGUGAUGGCCUACCAAGGCGGUGACGGGUAGCCGGCCUGAGAGGGGGGAGGGUCAAAGGGGGAAUGGGCCACGGCCCAGACUCCUACGGGGGGGGGCGGUGGGGAAUAUUGCAAAGGGGGGGAAAGCCUGAGGCAGCGACGCCGCGUGAGGGGGGGGGGCCUGGGGGUUGGGAACCUUUUUGGCCAGUGAAGCGGGCCGGCCUCGGUGGGGGGGGGGUGGACGGUAGGUGGAAAAGAAGGCGCGGAGAACUACGU
rnacentral:rRNA from 1 species